GCUGCUAUGGUGUAACAAACACAUCACAUUUUCGUUGUGGGGAUAAGACCAUUCUUUGGCAG
rnacentral:tRNA from 1 species